GCCCGGGUGGUCUAGUGGUAUGAUUCUCGCUUAGGGAUUUAACCCAAGCAUAUCUGCGAGAGGUCCCGCGUUCGAUCCGCGGCUCGGGCC